rnacentral:rRNA from 1 species
AUUGAACGCUGGCGGCAGGCUUAACACAUGCAAGUCGAGCGAGCGGCGGACGGGUGAGUAAUGUCUGGGAAACUGCCUGAUGGAGGGGGAUAACUACCGGAAACUGUAGCUAAUACCGCAUACCAUCAGAUGUGCCCAGGUGGGAUUAGCUUGUAGGUGGGGUAAUGGCUCACCUAGGCGACCAUCCCUUGCUGGUCUGAGAGGAUGACCAGCCACACGGGAACUGAGACACGGUCCAGCCUCCUACGGGAGGCAGAAGUGGGGAAUAGUUCACGAUGGGCGCAAGCCUGAUACAGCUAUGCGGCGUGUGUGAAGAAGGCCUUCGGGUUGUAAAACACUUUCAGCAGGGAGGCGUUACUCGCAGAAGAAGCACCGGCUAACUCCGGGCCAGCAGCCGCGGUAAUAC